rnacentral:lncRNA from 1 species
AUGCAGAAAACGUAUAUAUGUUUAUAUACCGACCGCAUAAUAUAUAAAUACAUAUACGCGUGCCCAAGCGCCUGGUUUUCGUCUCUCCUCCCUACGAAGCGGAAUGUUUUGGAGCCGAUGGAUAACAAGAACACGAUUAACAUUCUUUUGAGCUUGUUUUUUAAAAGGGGGAGGGAGCGUGAAGAAUUGUUUAACAUUCGGCCAUCGUUUGGCUGCACACUAAACACCACGAAGUAUUUAUGGUUGCAGAUCAGGUGCAAACGGGGCUUAGAGAGAAAGGAUAUAGACCCGCAGCUAACUGGAUUUGAUUUAUAAGAGAGAAAACUACAGUCAAUGCCCACUCUUGCCACAUUGCUAAUAUGGAAAACAGAAUGUUGAAUAGGAUAUGGUCUGAUAAAGAGUGAUGAUUGAAGAUGCUGCUCCAAUACAUGUGAAAUCAAUGGGAGAUACCUGCUGUCUGAAGAUCUGUCAGAACUUUUCUCGACAAGCUCCCCUUUAAGAAAUCGGAGGUAUAUUCUACCAUUAUACAGUCUUUCUCAAGUGGAUAUAAAUACGUUUGCCUCACUGUAACCAGGCAAC